rnacentral:rRNA from 1 species
CUACGGGUUGCUCCAGUGAGGAAUAUUGCACAAUGGGGGGAACCCUGAUGCAGCGACGCCGCGUGGAGGAUGACGCAUUUCGGUGUGUAAACUCCUUUUAUAUGUCAAGAAAAUGACGGUAGCAUAUGAAUAAGCACCGGCUAACUCCGUGCCAGCAGCCGCGGUAAUACGGAGGGUGCAAGCGUUACUCGGAAUCACUGGGCGCAAAGGACGCGUAGGCGGGUUGGAAAGUCAGGUGUGAAAUCCUACAGCUUAACUGUAGAACUGCACUUGAAACUUCUAAUCUAGAGUAUGGGAGGGGGAGAUGGAAUUAGUGGUGUAGGGGUAAAAUCCGUAGAUAUCACUAGGAAUACCUAAAGCGAAGGCGAUCUCCUGGAACAUUACUGACGCUAAGGCGUGAAAGCGUGGGGAGCAAACAGGAUUAGAUACCCUAGUAGUC